rnacentral:rRNA from 1 species
GCUUAACACAUGCAAGUCGAGGGGCAGCAUGGUCUUAGCUUGCUAAGGCUGAUGGCGACCGGCGCGCGGGUGAGUAACACGUAUCCAACCUGCCGUCUACUCUUGGCCAGCCUUCUGAAAGGAAGAUUAAUCCAGGAUGGGAUCAUGAGUUCACAUGUCCGCAUGAUUAAAGGUAUUUUCCGGUAGACGAUGGGGAUGCGUUCCAUUAGAUAGUAGGCGGGGUAACGGCCCACCUAGUCAACGAUGGAUAGGGGUUCUGAGAGGAAGGUCCCCCACAUUGGAACUGAGACACGGUCCAAACUCCUACGGGAGGCAGCAGUGAGGAAUAUUGGUCAAUGGGCGAUGGCCUGAACCAGCCAAGUAGCGUGAAGGAUGACUGCCCUAUGGGUUGUAAACUUCUUUUAUAAAGGAAUAAAGUCGGGUAUGCAUACCCGUUUGCAUGUACUUUAUGAAUAAGGAUCGGCUAACUCCGUGCCAGCAGCCGCGGUAAUACGGAGGAUCCGAGCGUUAUCCGGAUUUAUUGGGUUUAAAGGGAGCGUAGAUGGAUGUUUAAGUCAGUUGUGAAAGUUUGCGGCUCAACCGUAAAAUUGCAGUUGAUACUGGAUGUCUUGAGUGCAGUUGAGGCAGGCGGAAUUCGUGGUGUAGCGGUGAAAUGCUUAGAUAUCACGAAGAACUCCGAUUGCGAAGGCAGCCUGCUAAGCUGCAACUGACAUUGAGGCUCGAAGUGUGGGUAUCAAACA